UGGGGAAUUUUGGACAAUGGGCGAAAGCCUGAUCCAGCAAUGCCGCGUGUGUGAAGAAGGCCUUCGGGUUGUAAAGCACUUUUGUCCGGAAAGAAAUCCUUGGCUCUAAUACAGUCGGGGGAUGACGGUACCGGAAGAAUAAGCACCGGCUAACUACGUGCCAGCAGCCGCGGUAAUACGUAGGGUGCAAGCGUUAAUCGGAAUUACUGGGCGUAAAGCGUGCGCAGGCGGUUUGCUAAGACCGAUGUGAAAUCCCCGGGCUCAACCUGGGAACUGCAUUGGUGACUGGCAGGCUAGAGUAUGGCAGAGGGGGGUAGAAUUCCACGUGUAGCAGUGAAAAUGCGUAGAGAUGUGGAGGAAUACCGAUGGCGAAGGCAGCCCCCUGGGCCAAUACUGACGCUCAUGCACGAAAAGCGUGGGGAGCAAAACAGGAUUAGAUACCCCUGGUAGUCCACGCCCUAAAACGAUGUCAACUAGUUGUUGGGGGAUUCAUUUCCUUAGUAACGUAGCUAACGCGUGAAGUUGACCGCCUGGGGAGUACGGUCGCAAGAUUAAAAACUUAAAUGAAUUGACGGGGUCAUAGCUGUUUCCU
rnacentral:rRNA from 1 species